rnacentral:lncRNA from 1 species
AUUUGGAAGCCUUGGUGGGUUCUACAAGCUCUCCUACAAGAAGGAUUUGGAGGAGCUUGGGCUAAGGUGAGUUUUUGGUAUAAAUGAGUCUAGGGCUUGGUUUUGAUCCCUAGGAUUUGGAGUUUUGGGUUGUUUUUAGCCUUGGGAGCCUUCUAUAGGCCUUGAACUCCAUGGAACCCAUGAGAGCUCAAGUGCUCUCAUGGUGGAUGGUUAGGGUUCACCAUAGAAGCCCUAGGGUUG